UCGACGUCUUUAAGAUAUAGUGUCUAAAAGACGGCGAAAAGACGUUUUAUGUCCCGAUUUUGAACAUGUGUGCUGUCUGGGAUAUGUCACAAAAUCAGUUCCGUGUGCGCUCGGGACCACUCGACUGUCCCGAGCGCACACGGACACGAUACGUAGCUUAUGUGCGUCAUCCCCUCCACGUGCUAGAACGUGCGGCUAGAAUCUGGCACGUGCAUGCUACCAAGCAGAGAUGAAGAUCGCGCGGGCUCACGCCUCACCGUAGUGGAGAGGAUGAACGCGCAAGCUGUGUUCGGAAACAUCACCCGAGUGUCCCAGUGUAUCAUUUUUCCUUGUUGUUCAGCGAAUGAACAACAAGGAUAAAAUGAUACACUGGGGCACUCGGGUAAUGUUUCCGAACACAGUCCAAGCGGCGCAAGCGAGAACCGCGUACGUGUGCGCUCCGCUGAUUGGUUCAUCGCUUGUGUGCGUCAUCCCCUCCCCUACGUCAAGGCAAGAGUGCUGAAGAAACUCAAAGACUGAUAUGUGAGAUGUAUCGAGAAAAUACUCUGUCUAUCGAUGACUGUGAGAAACGUUUUGACGAGUUUAAGUCAAGUCGUGCCGUCAAGCUACGUGAUAUAAGGAUCAGCAGAUUGAGUGCAAUGCUUAAGGAAAAUCCGAACCUAACGCAAAGAGAGCUUGCACGACAGCUUGGAAUGUGUCGAUCAACAGUAAGCAAGUACUUGAAGAGAAUAAAUGCGAAGCAGCAGAAAAAGAAAGAAUUAUUUGAUAAACAGGUGACUGCAGUUGCAGUUUGGCUCUUGGACAAUAAUCAAAAGAUGUCUCGGUACAGCGCACACCUAACAAAUCUGCUUGAAGCGUACCACGAGCAGCAGCUGCUUCCUUUUUACUUGGAGAAUUACAAAGCUUGCGAUCAGUAUUUCAAGACAUCUAGUGUAAUAUAAUAAUUUUUGUUUUAUUGUUCCACAGCCAUUUCUAGAGGAACGUUGCUUCAGGUCUAAAGCUUUGAUGGAGAUCAGGAAAUUGAUUUCAGAUCAGGCAACAACUGAUUGAUGAAAUUGAUUAAAGCAUGCCGAAUUUAGCAAUUGAUAUCAAGAAAGACAACGUAAAUGUCACAGUGUUUGUACGUGUUCAAGCGUGUUGCUGUGAUCAAUUUAAACAGUAGACUUUAUAAACAUAUCAAAUUCAACAUUAACAAUUACCUAGAUGGCCGUUCAAAGUUAAGACCUGAAUUACAGUUUUAAUAAAAUUGAUUAUAUUUUUUUAUUUUGUAUUCGACAGAGAUUAAAAAUCAUAAGUUGUUUUUUGAAAUUGCUGAGAUUAAUUUAAGUAAAAGAUUGAUAAUUAUAUGUAUCAAAUUCACAAUAGUUACUUAGAUAGCCGUUUAAAGCUGAGAACUAAAUUACAGUUUUAUAAAAAUUUAUUAUAUUUUGUGUUUUGUAUUCAACAAAAA
rnacentral:misc_RNA from 1 species